rnacentral:rRNA from 1 species
GCAUAUCAAUAAGCGGAGGAAAAGAAACCAACAGGGAUUGCCCUAGUAACGGCGAGUGAAGCGGCAACAGCUCAAAUUUGAAAUCUGGCCCUUUCAGGGUCCGAGUUGUAAUUUGUAGAGGGUGCUUUGGCGUUGGCUGUGGUCUAAGUUCCUUGGAACAGGACGUCGCAGAGGGUGAGAAUCCCGUAUGUGGCCGCCAGUCUUCGCCGUGUAAAGCCCCUUCGACGAGUCGAGUUGUUUGGGAAUGCAGCUCUAAAUGGGAGGUAAAUUUCUUCUAAAGCUAAAUAUUGGCCAGAGACCGAUAGCGCACAAGUAGAGUGAUCGAAAGAUGAAAAGCACUUUGGAAAGAGAGUCAAAAAGCACGUGAAAUUGUUGAAAGGGAAGCGCUUGCAGCCAGACUUGCCUGUAGUUGCUCAUCCGGGCUUUUGCCCGGUGCACUCUUCUAUGGGCAGGCCAGCAUCAGUCCCAGCGGUUGGAUAAAUGUCUGUUGAACGUACCUCUCUUCGGGGAGGACUUAUAGCUUCAGGCGGCAUACAACCAGCCGGGAUUGAGGUCCGCGCAUCUGCUAGGAUGCUGGCGUAAUGGCUGUAAGCGGCCCGUCUUGAAACACGGACCAAGGAGUCUAACAUCUAUGCGAGUGUUUGGGUGUCAAGCCCGAGCGCGUAAUGAAAGUGAACGGAGGUGGGAACCCCUCGGGGCGCACCAUCGACCGAUCCUGAUGUCUUCGGAUGGAUUUGAGUAAGAGCAUAGCUGUUGGGACCCGAAAGAUGGUGAACUAUGCCUGAAUAGGGUGAAGCCAGAGGAAACUCUGGUGGAGGCUCGCAGCGGUUCUGACGUGCAAAUCGAUCGUCAAAUUUGGGCAUAGGGGCGAAAGACUAAUCGAACCAUCUAGUAGCUGGUUCCUGCGA